GUAGGUGAACCUGCGGAAGGAUCAUUACCGAGUACCGGGUCUCUCAGGCCCUUACUCCCACCCUUUGUGUACCAAACCUUUAUUCAGUUGCCUUGGCGGGUCCGCUCUCGGGCGCCCGCCAGGGGAACCCCUUUAAACUCUUGUCAAUUGGGUCGUCUGAGAAAAAUUCAAAUGAAUUAAAACUUUCAACAACGGAUCUCUUGGUUCUG
rnacentral:misc_RNA from 1 species